rnacentral:rRNA from 1 species
ACGUAGGGUGCAAGCGUUAAUCGGAAUUACUGGGCGGAAAGCGUGCGCAGGCGGUUAUGCAAAACAGAUGGGAAAUCCCCGGGCUCAACCUGGGAACUGCAGUUGUGACUGCAUGGCUAGAGUACGGUAGAGGGGGAUGGAAUUCCGCGUGUAGCAGUGAAAUGCGUAGAUAUGCGGAGGAACACCGAUGGCGAAGGCAAUCCCCUGGACCUGUACUGACGCUCAUGCACGAAAGCGUGGGGAGCAAACAGG